rnacentral:ncRNA from 1 species
CUCAGGGCAAGGUGAAAUUCCUGACCGGCGGUAAACCCCGCGACUCUGCAACAGCAGAUUGAAUUGGUGAAAUUCCAAUGGCGACAGUACAGUCUGGAUGAAAGAGA